AUUGGACGCUGGCGGCAUGCCUUACACAUGCAAGUCGAACGGCAGCACGGGUGCUUGCACCUGGUGGCGAGUGGCGAACGGGUGAGUAAUACAUCGGAACGUACCUUAUCGUGGGGGAUAACGCAGCGAAAGCUGUGCUAAUACCGCAUACGCCCUGAGGGGGAAAGCGGGGGAUCGCAAGACCUCGCGCGAUUAGAGCGGCCGAUGCCUGAUUAGCUUGUUGGUGGGGUAAAAGCCCACCAAGGCGACGAUCAGUAGCUGGUCUGAGAGGACGAUCAGCCACACUGGGACUGAGACACGGCCCAGACUCCUACGGGAGGCAGCAGUGGGGAAUUUGGACAAUGGGGGCAACCCUGAUCCAGCAAUGCCGCGUGAGUAAAGAAGGCCUUCGGGUUGUAAAGCUCUUUUGUCAGGGAAGAAACACCGGCUCUAACACAGUCCGGGAAUGACGGUACCUGAAGAAUAAGCACCGGCUAACUACGUGCCAGCCGCCGCCGUAA
rnacentral:rRNA from 1 species